rnacentral:rRNA from 1 species
ACUCCUACGGGAGGCAGCAGUGGGGAAUAUUGCACAAUGGGCGCAAGCCUGAUGCAGCCAUGCCGCGUGUAUGAAGAAGGCCUUCGGGUUGUAAAGUACUUUCAGUCGUGAGGAAGGCGGCGUCGUUAAUAGCGGCGUUGUUUGACGUUAGCGACAGAAGAAGCACCGGCUAACUCCGUGCCAGCAGCCGCGGUAAUACGGAGGGUGCGAGCGUUAAUCGGAAUUACUGGGCGUAAAGCGCAUGCAGGUGGUUUGUUAAGUCAGAUGUGAAAGCCCGGGGCUCAACCUCGGAAUAGCAUUUGAAACUGGCAGACUAGAGUACUGUAGAGGGGGUUAGAAUUUCAGGUGUAGCGGUGAAAUGCGUAGAGAUCUGAAGGAAUACCGGUGGCGAAGGCGGCCCCUGGACAGAUACUGACACUCAGAUGCGAAAGCGUGGGAGCAAACAGGAUUAGAUACCCCUGGUAGCGACUGA